GAUGAACGCUGGCGGCGUGCCUAAUACAUGCAAGUCGAGCGAACGGACGAGAAGCUUGCUUCUCUGAUGUUAGCGGCGGACGGGUGAGUAACACGUGGAUAACCUACCUAUAAGACUGGGAUAACUUCGGGAAACCGGAGCUAAUACCGGAUGAUAUUUUGAACCGCAUGGUUCAAAAGUGAAAGACGGUCUUGCUGUCACUUAUAGAUGGAUCCGCGCUGCAUUAGCUAGUUGGUAAGGUAACGGCUUACCAAGGCAGCGAUGCAUAGCCGACCUGAGAGGGUGAUCGGCCACACUGGAACUGAGACACGGUCCAGACUCCUACGGGAGGCAGCAGUAGGGAAUCUUCCGCAAUGGGCGAAAGCCUGACGGAGCAACGCCGCGUGAGUGAUGAAGAUCUUCGGAUCGUAAAACUCUGUUAUUAGGGAAGAACAUAUGUGUAAGUAACUGUGCACAUCUUGACGGUACCUAAUCAGAAAGCCACGGCUAACUACGUG
rnacentral:rRNA from 1 species